rnacentral:rRNA from 1 species
UACGGAGGGAGCUAGCGUUGUCCGGAAUCAUUGGGCGUAAAGAGCGUGUAGGCGGCCAGAUAAGUCCGCUGUGAAAUCUCGAGGCUCAACUUCGAGCUGUCGGUGGAAACUGUCUGGCUAGAGUCCGGAAGAGGAGAAUGGAAUUCCUGGUGUAGCGGUGAAAUGCGCAGAUAUCAGGAAGAACACCCGUGGCGAAGGCGGUUCUCUGGGACGGUACUGACGCUGAGACGCGAAAGCGUGGGGAGCGAACAGG